CAUCGACCCUAACCCGUUUUCUUGUACAUGUGAGAAGAGUAGGAGGCUAAGUUAUGGGAGAGAAAAGUUUUAAAAAAAUACUGCUCACCUGACUCUCAUCCAUAAAAGAUCCCAAUCUCAGGCUCCCCAAAGACUGGCAGACAGUACAUGGUGCAGUUGAAGGUUCCAUUCAACGUGAGGUAGAGUGAGAAGAAGAUAGAGAGAAACAUUGACGUGA